rnacentral:rRNA from 1 species
AUUGAACGCUGGCGGCAUGCUUUACACAUGCAAGUCGAACGGCAGCGCGGGCUUCGGCCUGGCGGCGAGUGGCGAACGGGUGAGUAAUACAUCGGAACGUGCCCAGUAGUGGGGGAUAGCUCGGCGAAAGCCGGAUUAAUACCGCAUACGACCUGAGGGUGAAAGCGGGGGAUCUUCGGACCUCGCGCUAUUGGAGCGGCCGAUGGCAGAUUAGCUAGUUGGUGGGGUAAAGGCCUACCAAGGCGACGAUCUGUAGCUGGUCUGAGAGGACGACCAGCCACACUGGGACUGAGACACGGCCCAGACUCCUACGGGAGGCAGCAGUGGGGAAUUUUGGACAAUGGGCGAAAGCCUGAUCCAGCAAUGCCGCGUGUGUGACGAAGGCCUUCGGGUUGUAAAGCACUUUUGGCGGGAACGAAAAGGACUGUGCCAAUACCACGGUUCGAUGACGGUACCCGCAGAAUAAGCACCGGCUAACUACGUG